UACGGAGGGUGCAAGCGUUAUCCGGAUUCACUGGGUUUAAAGGGUGCGUAGGCGGGCAGGUAAGUCCGUGGUGAAAUCUCUGAGCUUAACUCAGAAACUGCCAUGGAUACUAUUUGUCUUGAAUAUUGUGGAGGUAAGCGGAAUAUGUCAUGUAGCGGUGAAAUGCUUAGAUAUGACAUAGAACACCAAUUGCGAAGGCAGCUUACUACACAGUUAUUGACGCUGAAGCACGAAAGCGUGGGGAUCAAACAGG
rnacentral:rRNA from 1 species